AUCUGCGGUUCAUGCUCUUGCGCAGUAUGGAUAUCUCAUGAUUGUCUAACAGAAGUUCAGGUUGAGAUUAUUUUCUUCCCUGAAUGGCAAUUGGCAAAGUGUUAAUGAGGGAUACUAAUCCUGACAUGUUCCAUAUCCAUAUUCAAGUGUCAUGGGGUGCAUUCACUUCAUUUUCAUGCUUCAGGUUGUAAACAACUGUGCGCUGAAAAUUGUAAAUUGUUGUGGCUGAGACCAAACAGGAUAGUUCGCUCUGGAAUCUGCUGUCUCAUUUGUGUCCAGUGCGCUGAGAGACUGAGACCUGCUACGAGUAAUAUUUUUCGAGUGUGCUGAUCUCCAAAACCUAGAUUCAUUUGGUGGCAGAUCUCUACCUUCUCGCUCCAGGAAAGUCCCUGAGCUGCAGCUGCGCAACGCGGAGGUGAUGAAGGUUGGCCCAGAGAGAGUCUGAGAUAUAAGUGAUGCAAGUGCACACGCGACGGAUGUUGGCUAAGAGAGGGUCUGAGAUAUCAGUGAUGCAAGUGCGCUGCCCAAAGCACAGGAGGAGCCGGCUCUGGGCACCUUUUUUUUAAGGGAGCCUUCUAUGGGCACUGGCGAGGGGAUGUUUGGUUGGACUUAUUUUUAACUUUUGAACUCUAGGUAGUAUAAACCACAAAAGACUAAACUUACUAGUCUUAUUUUCGUUUAGGCCUCGUGAUUGUAAUGAAGUUGCUCAUGCCCUUAAUGCAAUAGGUGAUAGUGGUAAUGAUUUUA